rnacentral:tRNA from 1 species
UGGGCGCAUAGCUCAGCUGGGAGAGCAUCUGCCUUACAAGCAGAGGGUCACAGGUUCGAGCCCUGUUGUGCCCACCAA